GACGAACGCUGGCGGCGUGCUUAACACGUGCAAGUCGAACGGUAAGGCCCUUCGGGGUACACGAGUGGCGAACGGGUGAGUAACACGUGGGUGAUCUGCCCUGCACUUCGGGAUAAGCCUGGGAAACUGGGUCUAAUACCGGAUAGGACUCCGGACUGCAUGGUCUGGGGUGGAAAGCUUUUGCGGUGUGGGAUGGGCCCGCGGCCUAUCAGCUUGUUGGGGGGGUGAUGGCCUACCAAGGCAACGACGGGUAGCCGGCCUGAGAGGGUGACCGGCCACCGUGGGACUGAGAUACGGCCCAGACUUCUACGGGAGGCAGCAGUGGGGAAUAUUGCACAAUGGGCGCAAGCCUGAUGCAGCGACGCCGCGUGAGGGAUGACGGCCUUCGGGUUGUAAACCUCUUUCAGCAUCGACGAAGCGAAAGUGACGGUAGGUGCAGAAGAAGGACCGGCCAACUACGUGCCAGCCGCCGCCGUAA
rnacentral:rRNA from 1 species